GUGCUUGCUUUGGCAGUACAUGUACUAAAAUUGGAAUGGUGCAAAGAAGAUUAGCAUGGCCCCUGCACAAGGAUUGUAAGAAUGGGUUAGCAUGAGAACAGCCAUUUU